AGCUCCAAUAGCGUAUAUUUAAGUUGUUGCAGUUAAAAAGCUCGUAGUUGGAUUUCGGGUGGGUUUUAGCGGUCCGCCUAUGGUGAGUACUGCUAUGGCCUUCCUUACUGUCGGGGACCUGCUUCUGGGCUUCACUGUCCGGGACAGGGAUUCGGCAUGGUUACUUUGAGUAAAUUAGAGUGUUCAAAGCAGGCUUACGCCGGAAUACUUUAGCAUGGAAUAACAUGAUAGGACUCUGCCCUAUUGUGUUGGCCUGUAGGAGUGGAGUAAUGAUUAAGAGGAACAGUCGGGGGCAUUCGUAUUUCAUUGUCAGAGGUGAAAUUCUUGGAUUUAUGAAAGACGAACUACUGCGAAAGCAUUUGCCAAGGAUGUUUUCA
rnacentral:rRNA from 1 species